UUUCCGUAGGUGAACCUGCGGAAGGAUCAUUACUGAGGUAUGCUCGGUGUCGCGUCAGCGCGCCGGUUACCCGCCCUUAUGUCAUUUGUGCUGGGACCGUCUCGCUUCCGGGCGGACGGGAUCAGGAACUUUACUUCGGUCGAGGUGUUGUGGCUUGCCCGCUCUGCGGGGAGGACAUGACCGCGGCCGGUCAUAUUUUACACUCUUGUGAGUAGCAUGAAGUCUGAACAAAUAUAAAAUUGAAGCAAAACUUUCAACAACGGAUCUCUUGGCUCUGGCAUCGAUGAAGAACGCAGC
rnacentral:misc_RNA from 1 species